rnacentral:rRNA from 1 species
UACGUAGGUGGCAAGCGUUGUCCGGAUUUAUUGGGCGUAAAGCGCUCGCAGGUGGUCCGUCGCGUCGUGCGUGAAAUACCCCGGCUCAACUGGGGGGGGUCGUGCGAUACGGGCGGACUGGAGGCCAGUAGGGGGAUGCGGAAUUCCGGGUGUAGUGGUGGAAUGCGUAGAGAUCCGGAGGAACACCAGCGGCGAAGGCGGCAUCCUGGACUGGUCCUGACACUCAGGAGCGAAAGCGUGGGGAGCGAUCCGG